rnacentral:rRNA from 1 species
UACGGGGGGGGCAAGCGUUGUUCGGAAUUACUGGGCGUAAAGGGCUCGUAGGCGGCCAACUAAGUCGGACGUGAAAUCCCCAGGCUCAACCUGGGAACUGCGUCCGAUACUGGAUGGCUUGAAUUCGGGAGAGGGAUGCAGAAUUCCAGGUGUAGCGGUGAAAUGCGUAGAUAUCUGGAGGAAUACCGGUGGCGAAGGCGGCAUCCUGGACAGUGACUGACGCUGAGACGCGAAAGCGUGGGGAGCAAACAGG